GAAAGGGGAGCAUAGUAGGGAAGGAGAGGAGGGAAAUAUACUUUGGGGGGGAAAGAACUGCCAAAAAUAUUUCUAAUGUUUGUUGUAUUUCCUCUUUGUGUUAAUUUAAUUAUUUCUUACUGAUUCAAUGAAGUGGCUCAUUUAGGUUUCUAUUAGCAAAGUGGUUACUUUGCUAAUUAUAAGAUUAUAAAUUUAGAGAUGGACAUCAGAGGUUGCUUGAUACAUCUUUCUCAACUUAUGGAUAAGAAAACUUGAGAUCCAGAGCUCAAGCUCACACAGGUCCAGCAUCCUGAUGAUAACAUUCUACAAAGCUUCAGAAACAACAAUUUAAAAUAUCCAUGGGGUCCCAUUCCUUCUGUGGAGUGAUUCCAGAUAUCUUCUGAAAUACGCUAUAAGAAAUUAUUCAAUCUGGCUUUCAUCCAUACUGUUCCAAUGGCUUCCUGCCACUCAGAACCAAAGUUUGAGAGGGUGCUCAAGGACAAGAAUUGUUUCUAAGAGAUAACCAUGAGACAUUUUCAUCUGUGUUAAGAACCUGUGGAAAAAUCUUGCAUCAAGGAGGAUGGGCAGUCAUCAUCAAUUCCCAGAAUCAGUCACUGCAUUGAUCAGAGUUCAACUUACUUAUUGUAUUUUCACAUCAUAAAUUACAAAGAUAAUUUGAAGACAUUCUUAACCUCUUGAAUAGUCAGUUUCAGCUCUGUACAGAAGAUGAAAAUGAGGGAAGUUAAUAGAAGAUAGCUAUAAAAGUGAAGGAUGUUCCUGAAAGAAGAGUAUCAGAAGCUCUAAAGUUUAUCGUGAAAUUAGCAAGGAAAGCUAAGACAACUAAUCAAGUUUUCCCCCUUUUAGGGAAAAGAUGUUGCUCAUAGUAGGAAUAUGACUGCUCCUUUGGAUGGAAGGAAGGAAACACAUUUUGAUUUUCUCUGAUAAAGGGAAUAAUCUUGGAAUGGAGAGAACAAAAGAAAAAUGACCAUUAAUCAAAUUAUGUAGGCAAUUGGUAAGGGAGUAACUAUAGCUGCUCUUGAUGAAUUCAAGUUACCAAGCCCAUAUAAACUGAUGGAACUAAAAAAUCACUGUCAGUGAUAUUUGUAAGUGUGAAGAAUUGCAGAAGUGCUGCUAGACUGAAGAACAACAAAUGAGUUGCAUUUUAAAUAAUAGAAUAGAGUCUUCAAACUAUAAUAACAGAGUUUGACUUUGAUUGAUGGAAAAAAUUUAAAAGAAUUAUUAAAAGGAGAUAAGUGAACACCUGAUAAUAAGAAGAAAAGAAGCAAUCACAAAGAGGCAGAAAGUUUUCAAGAAAUAGGUAUUGCCAAGAAAAUGUACCUUCACCAAUGAGGACUUGAGUGUGGAAUACUGAGGUACUGCCUAAAUAAGUUUAUGUUUUGGUUAGUUUUGCUGCUUCUCUUUGUGAGUGUGUGUGUUUGUGAUAUAAGGGAUGGUUAAUUGAGGAGGAAUAAAUUUGGGAAUAUAGGUGAUAGGAAACAAAAAAAUAAUUAAUAAAAAUAAAGUUCC